CCUACGGUGCGCUGCAGUAGGGAAUCUUCCACAAUGGGCGAAAGCCUGCUGGAGCAACGCCGCGUGGGUGAAGAAGGUCUUCGGAUCGUAAAACCCUGUUGUUAGAGAAGAAAGUGCGUGAGAGUACCUGUUCACGUUUCGACGGUAUCUAACCAGAAAGCCAUGGCUAACUACGUGCCAGCCGCCGCGGUAAUACGUAGGUGGCAAGCGUUAUCCGGAUGUAUUGGGCGUAAAGGGAACGCAGGCGGUCUUUUAAGUCUGAUGUGAAAGCCUUCGGCUUAAACGGAGUAGUGCAUUGGAAACUGGGAGACUUGAGGGCAGAAGAGGAGAGGGGAACUCCAUGUGUAGCGGUGAAAUGCGUAGAGAUAUGGAAGAACACCAGUGGCGAAAGCGGCUCUCUGGUCUGUAACUGACGCUGAGGUUCGAAAGCGUGGGUAGCAAACAGGAUUAGAUACCCGUGUAGUC
rnacentral:rRNA from 1 species